GUUGUCUUGUGAUAACUCAACUGUAUUAAAAGAGUUGUGCAUAUUCCUGGUAAAACACUGCAAAUAGCAGAUUUAUAUUCCAUGUUUCGCUAAAUUAGCUAUUGCUUUGAUUUAAAAAAAAAAAAAUUGUUAAUUGACCGGAUUCAGUUUCUCGAUUUAUUUUAUUCAUCUGCUUCUGAAACGGGGAGGAUUGUUGUUAUUGUCUAUCGCCAUCAACAGUAUAUCCUUGAGCACCGUCUCAUGGUCUCUUCUGCAGAUGAAAAUAUUUCCGUCUUUAUAGAUAAU
rnacentral:lncRNA from 1 species